CGACAAGCUGCUGCAUCUGAUGUCAUCCGUUUACGCAUGACAAGCUGCCUGUGAGGAGUAUUCAAGAUGGCGGAUCGGUCUCAUUUCAUGUGGUGCUAUAAGACGAUGGACUGGAAGUGCAGGGUGUGCAGAAUAUUCUCAUUCCCAAGUCCACCUCCUCAGACACUACAGAGUGAAACACAGACACUGCUCUAAAAACAAAUCCACUGCCUUGGGAGGAUAAAGUACCACUUGAAAUAGUACGAGGAGGAAUUGCUCUAAAGGUGUAGAAGAGGAAAAUCAACUGUAGUCUCAUCUGCAAGAGAAAUGUUGCUCCAAAAUGAACACCAGCCCAUCAGUAAAAGUGUUUCUGGAUCUCUGGCCUUUACUGCGUUUAACAUCUGAGAGUUCCAACAAAUCAGAACUUGUCCCACAAAUUUUACGCACAACUGGACCACCACCUACCUCUUUUGAUGACACUUUUUAAAUAUUUGCCAAAUAAUAAUUACCCUGUCCUUAACAUUGUUUUUUCCCUCUUUUAUUCUUUAGCUUGAUGGUUCUGAAGUACAGAUUGAGGAUGCUCCAGUGGCCCUACCUACUGUUGUUACAACCAAGCAAAUAUGUCAGUUGUUCUGGACAAAUCAAGGUUGGCCUGCCAACCUUAAAGAGAGAGUUGAUGUAAAGCGUAAUUCUCACUACAGUAGCACACACUAACAAUGUUACUCUGCUUAAUAAUUUGUUACAUAGGCUGUUUUUUAUUUUUUGCAAACCUGAUAUUUUUGUCAUGCAGCUGUUAAAGUAAUUGAAAUAUCUCAAAUCUUUUUGUUUUGCUGUGCAUUGUUGUUUUUUAGGCAUUCCUUGUUCAUUCAACAGUACAUUACUCAUUGAAGAUCUUAAAACUUGUGGUCUUUUUAAGGUUACUUUACUGAUGUUAUUUUGAUUUGUUUGUUAAAUCAGUGUAAACUCAGAAGACACAAGUUACUGUUUAAAAAACACAUGUUCUUAUUGGCUUCUAGGCAUUUCUUGUUCAUUCCAGAAUGUAUUUAACAUCGUAAAACAGUUUCUUGAAUUUUGCCCCUCUUUAAAGGGUUUCUGUACUGACGUAGAGUCAGUUUGCUAGUUUGCACCCUUUAAAAGCAUAACUGUACUUAUGUAGAAUCUAAACAGACUUUACUUUUUUAGAUUGUAUCACAUUUGUUAUUUUAGUGAAGAUAUGUGUAUAUAAACCGUAUUAUGUUUUAAUGUAACGUAAAUGUAAAGCUGACUAUUCCUUGUUCAAAAUAUGGUAAAUGGUAAAUGGACUGCAUUUAUAUAGCGCUUUUAACAGACCUAUGGCCAUCCAAAGCGCUUUACAAGUUGCCUCACAUUCACCCAUUCACUCCCACAUUCAUACACCGACGGCGGUGUCAGCCAUGCAAGGCGCCAUCCAGCGCGUCGGGAGCAGCUGGGGUUAGGUGACUUGCUCAAGGACACCUCGACACUUGGUCCGGUGGAGCCGGGGAUUGAACCACCAACCUUCC